rnacentral:lncRNA from 1 species
CAAAUGCUUUGGCUGCUCCAGCAGCAUCACCUGAGGUGUUGCCUUCCUCUGGAUGCCAAGUGCUUGGUGUCACAGCAGGCCAUAUUGCCCAGGUGAGACAGUUAAACUGAAUAAAAGUUUACCAGGCAUAAUAUAGGAGGGCCUUUGUUUCAAAAUAUUGUCAUAGAGCAAACCCUUUAAGACCUUCAUUGGACAUUUGUGUUGGUUUUCGGAAUAGGCAGUACAUAAAUGUGGCUUUCUGCUAAAGGACAAGAUCCUGGGGCACAGGCUGGGGGUUAGUUGUGAUCCUGGGAAGGAAUUUGGAAGACACGGAACAAAAAUGAGCUUUUGCUGAAGAGAGGUGAUCCAGUCCCUGGCAUCCAGGGAAUGCCAGUAGGCAUCUGGCUUACCUGAGGGGUCCUGCUGCCUUCCAGGAAGGAGGGUAGCAGCUGCUUUUUUUAUCUGAUGGACUGAAUUUACUCUUGUUUAUUUGUUUGUUUGUUUGUUUGUUAUAGUGUUUUUUUCCCCCAUCCUUGAGCAAAGAAUGCCUUGUUAGAGCAGCCCUAGCAUUCACUAGGCUCGAAAGAAGGAAGGUGGAUCAAACCUGUCCUCGCGCAGUACAGGGGAAGAGUGAACACGGGUGCUGCCUCCCGUUUGAGUUGCAUGAGGAGAGUCUGUCUGAAGCAGGACUUUGGUGUAGAUCUGGAUCAUAGAAAGUUGCACAGUGAGCCAGCAAAUGCAGCAGAGACGCCACUGCAUCAGCAGUUACUGGAACAAUUGAGAACCGUGCUGUUACUCUCUUUCAGAUUGAAUGGGCUCAGGAAAAUAAGAGCGUUGGUCUGCCAGCAGCCAGGACCCAGUAGCACGAUAAUCCAAGCAGAGCAUUUGCAGCCUAGUGCUAUUCUGGCCCUUGUGCCUUGGGAUUUGCCCAGGAACCAUCCUGGUAGGACACAGGACGAAUGAGUUUGUUCAUCAGAAGGGGGAAGAUUCUUCUCCACUCUGCAGGACCUGAGCUUGGGUACUCAGGUUUGUGGAUCCCAGGUCUCUCCUGAAAGGAAAACAGCCCUUAAUUGCAGAAAUGGAGGCUUUAUUCAGGGAACAUCACAUUCCCAUCCUGGCUGCCAUUGGUAUGUCAGGGUCCUUAGUUUAAUCCCUGAACCUCGCCACCAGGAGAUCAAAUUUACUUCUGAGUUUGCAGACCCACACUGGACUGUUGCAUACCUGGUCUUAUCUCUGGGAAGAAAUUGAAGGACCAAACC